rnacentral:tRNA from 1 species
GGUUAUGGCUUAGUGGUAGAGCGCUUGCCUAGCAUGUGUGAGGCACUGGGUUCGAGCCUCAGCACCA